rnacentral:rRNA from 1 species
CGGGGUGCAGCAGGCGCGAAAACUUUACAAUGCCGGCAACGGCGAUAAGGGGACCUCGAGUGCCAGGUUACAAAUCUGGCUGUCGAGAUGCCUAAAAAGCAUUUCAUAGCAAGGGCCGGGCAAGACCGGUGCCAGCCGCCGCGGUAACACCGGCGGCUCGAGUGGUAACCGUUAUUAUUGGGUCUAAAGGGUCUGUAGCCGGCCGGAUAAGUCUCUUGGGAAAUCCAGCAGCUCAACUGUUGGGCUUUCAGGAGAUACUGUCUGGCUCGAGGCCGGGAGAGGUGAGAGGUACUUCAGGGGUAGGGGUGAAAUCUUGUAAUCCUUGAAGGACCACCAGUGGCGAAGGCGUCUCACCAGAACGGGCCUGACGGCAAGGGACGAAAGCUAGGGGCACGAACCGGAUUAGAUACCCGGGUAGUCCUAGCCGUAAACGAUACUCGCUAGGUGUCGGCCACGGUGCGACCGUUGUCGGUGCCGUAGGGAAGCCGUGAAGCGAGCCACCUGGGAAGUACGGCCGCAAGGCUGAAACUUAAAGGAAUUGGCGGGGGAGCAC